AAAAAAAAAAAAAAUUUGAUUAUCACCUAAACAGCGCAUUCUACUGCUACUGACGGUCCACUUGCAGCAAUUAUGGCUGACACUGGAGCUGCUUUGCAGAGACUUCUGCAGUCUUACCUGGAGACCCAUGGACAGGGGGCCCUGGAGGAGCUGGUGUCGGGCGUGAGGAAUGUCCCCCAGGAUGUAAGGGCCGGUCAGUCUGCAUGCCGAGACGGACGGAGGGCCAGGAGAUCGAGGCCUCCGUCGCGUCUUUCUCCCAGUCCAGUUCGGCGUCAGAGGAGGGGAAGAAGUGGCGGCUCGGCCGUGCGACCGCUCCGGAGUCCGGUACCUGGGAGGAGGAGGAUCCGUUCCGGUGAGGCCGGUGGUUGUGUCCAGGUCCAAGAUGGCGGCGGAAGCCAGGUUGCCGAAAGGGCGGGAAGAUCGCGCUCUCCGCGCUCUUCUCUUCCGGCCGGCCCGGAAGUCGCGUCAGCACGCUCGGUGCGUGACGCGGACGCGGCCGGAAGGAUCGUCAUCACGCAAGGCGCGUACGUGACGUCACCGCGCAGGAGAGCGCGGACGUCACAGGCCUUGCGUUCCAGCGUGGUUCCGGCAGGAAGUGAGCCGGAAACCACGCGAGAAGAGCCCAGGAGGGCCACCGGAAGCCGGAGAGGCCACAGGAGUGGCAGCAGCAGCACCCUGGAAGGAAGAUUGCGGUCGGGCCAGGAGGCCGGCCGUGAAUCACCCCUGGGAUCGGGGUCCAGUUCCGGUUCUGAUGAUGGUGAGACCCAGCAUCCUCAGCCAGCCAGCGGUAAGUGUUGCGCUAGCGCUUGGCAUGCGCUAGCUGGGGAUAGGGUAGAUAGUGGGUUUAAUGGGGAGGUUCUGGGGUUGCUGAAGGCCGUGUUAGAUAGA